rnacentral:rRNA from 1 species
UACAGAGGGGGCAAGCGUUAUUCGGAAUUAUUGGGCGUAAAGGGCGCGUAGGCGGCUUUGCAAGUGACGGGUGAAAUCCCUCGGCUUAACCGAGGAACUGCCUGUCAGACUGCAUGGCUCGAGACCAGGAGAGGUGAGUGGAAUUCCCAGUGUAGCGGUGAAAUGCGUAGAUAUUGGGAGGAACACCAGUGGCGAAGGCGGCUCACUGGACUGGUACUGACGCUGAUGCGCGAAGGCGUGGGGAGCGAACAGG